CUACGGGGGGCUCCAGUGGGGAAUAUUGCACAAUGGAGGGAACUCUGAUGCAGCAACGCCGCGUGGAGGAUGACGCAUUUCGGUGUGUAAACUCCUUUUAUAUAGGAAGAUAAUGACGGUACUAUAUGAAUAAGCACCGGCUAACUCCGUGCCAGCAGCCGCGGUAAUACGGAGGGUGCAAGCGUUACUCGGAAUCACUGGGCGUAAAGCGCAUGCAGGCGGUUAAAUAAGUUGGAAGUGAAAUCCUAUGGCUCAACCAUAGAACUGCUUCCAAAACUGUUUAACUAGAGUCUGGGAGGGGAAGAUGGAAUUAGUAGUGUAGGGGUAAAAUCCGUAGAGAUUACUAGGAAUACCAAAAGCGAAGGCGAUCUUCUGGAACAGUACUGACGCUGAGAUGCGAAAGCGUGGGGAGCAAACAGGAUUAGAUACCCGCGUAGUC
rnacentral:rRNA from 1 species